rnacentral:rRNA from 1 species
AUUGAACGCUGGCGGCAGGCUUAACACAUGCAAGUCGAGCGAGCGGCGGACGGGUGAGUAAUGUCUGGGAAACUGCCUGAUGGAGGGGGAUAAGUACUGGAAACGGUAGCUAAUACCGCAUACCAUCAGAUGUGCCCAGAUGGGAUUAGCUAGUAGGUGGGGUAAGGGCUCACCUAGGCGCCGAGCCCUAGCUGGUCUGAGAGGAUGACCAGCGACCCUGGAACUGAGACACGGGCCAGACUCCUACGGGAGGCAGCAGUGGGGAAUAUUGGACAAUGGGCUCAAGCCUGAUGCAGCCAUGCCGCGUGUGUGAAGAAGGCCUUCGGGUUGUAAAGCACUUUCAGCGAGGAGGCGUUACUCUCAGAAGAAGCACCGGCUAACUCCGUGCCAGCAGCCGCGGUAAUUC